UACGUAGGGGGCUAGCGUUAUCCGGAUUUACUGGGCGUAAAGGGUGCGUAGGUGGUUUCUUAAGUCAGGAGUGAAAGGCUACGGCUCAACCGUAGUAAGCUCUUGAAACUGGGAAACUUGAGUGCAGGAGAGGAGAGUAGAAUUCCUAGUGUAGCGGUGAAAUGCGUAGAUAUUAGGAGGAAUACCAGUUGCGAAGGCGGCUCUCUGGACUGUAACUGACACUGAGGCACGAAAGCGUGGGGAGCAAACAGG
rnacentral:rRNA from 1 species